rnacentral:tRNA from 1 species
GGUGGCUGUGGUGUGAUCGGUUAGCACACCUGCUUGUGACGCAGGAGGAAAGAGUUCGAAUCUCUUCGUUCACCC